CCUGGGGCAAAAAAAGUCCCUGUAAUUGAACACUUUCAUUUUUGCUUGUCCCCAGGCUUGUCGUUAGAAAACUAAGGGACUUUACUUUUGAGUAUCAUGUUUACAAAAGCAAAGUGGUUUUUAAAUUUUAAACUAACAGUGGGGGCUGGACACGUGAGGAGGUAGUGACGCCGCCACUGCCGGAACACGCUGCUGCAGGCUCCCCGAUGGCCAUGUCUGUGGAUUUUAAAACUUAUGUAGAUCAGGCAUGUAGAGCUGCUGAGGAGUUUGUCAAUAUUUACUAUGAGACAAUGGAUAAAAGAAGACGGGUGAGUGUUAUAGACUCUACUACUCUUUUUAGACUACUACUCUUUAUUAAAUACCAGGUCGUGUCUGGAGCCAGCGUUUCAUCUGCCUUGCAUAAGUGGUAACUGUGGACUUACCCUUUAAAAGCAAAUUGCU
rnacentral:lncRNA from 1 species